UACGUAGGUGGCAAGCGUUGUCCGGAUUUAUUGGGCGUAAAGCGAGCGCAGGCGGUUUCUUAAGUCUGAUGUGAAAGCCCCCGGCUCAACCGGGGAGGGUCAUUGGAAACUGGGAGACUUGAGUGCAGAAGAGGAGAGUGGAAUUCCAUGUGUAGCGGUGAAAUGCGUAGAUAUAUGGAGGAACACCAGUGGCGAAGGCGGCUCUCUGGUCUGUAACUGACGCUGGAGGCUCGAAAGCGUGGGGAGCGAACAGG
rnacentral:rRNA from 1 species